rnacentral:lncRNA from 1 species
GGUGGACGGGGCUCCCCGAACCUGCCUCCGAGCGGGGCAGCUCUCUGAGGUCAGCCUUGGACGCCUUUGACCCGUGUCACUGCGGAGGGGACAGCCGCCACCGCGGCUCAGCCCGGGAACCCUGCGGGCCAGGCUACGUGGAGCCAGUGCAGGAUCUUCAAGCAUCAAUUACUCGGACUCCAAAGCACGUGAACCGCAGGUUUCCGGGAUGGUGUGUCUGCAGAGCUGUGUUCAGAGAAGCUGGUGAUGGAUGGGUCCAUUUGGACUCCCGGAAAGGGCCAGACGGUAUGUUUGAAAUCCUUGUUAUAGUCAUUGUCCUACACUUGCCAUCGAAACUUUUUUAUGUUUUUUCCACUAACGUAGCAGAAUUAUUAUGAUGACACUAAAUUGCCUGUGCAUUUUACUCUCCUGUAUGUUAGAGGUUAAUUGGACACCCAGGUAGUCAGGCCCAGGGUCCCCAGCAAGAAAGCAAAAAAGCCCAGAUAGCCAAGACCAAAUCGCACUAGCAUCCUGUUUUACAGCUUAGACAAGACCACAAUAGCAUCCUGUCUAGCCGCCUCUGCAAAAGUGACUUUUACAAAACAUCCUAAAACAGAACAAUUAACUGUAAAACAGUUGUCAGUAUCACAAGUUGAGGCGGGUCGUCUCCGGAUGUGAGCGCAAGAGACCAGCAACAUAGGAACAAUAACCCAACAGGUAGACAGGUGCAUGAUCAAAGCCCCGAUUGUCACACGUUAGCCACCAGUCCACAGAGACCCACACUGAGGAUGCUCAAAAUAGUUCCUGGAAAGAGCUUAUAAAAACCCGUAAAUGUGAACACCAAAAGGGCAACCCUCUCGGGUCCCCAACCUCCCUGGGUCCUUUGUACUAUUAUUGUUCAAUAAACUUUACCUUGCUGCCCA